CAUAGAAAGUUUUGUAAAAUUCAUAUAAUUUAUUUUAGUAAUUUAUAUGAAGGGAGGUAAAUAGUUGUUUUUGACAAAAUCACUAGUCCAAAGAAAGUCAGACACUAUGUACAUGUUAAUUAGUUGUGUGAGUGCUGGAAAAAAAAACUUUUUAAUCACAAAUGUUAAUGUUU